GUGCUCACUUUGGCAGCACAUAUCCCAAAAUUGGAACAAUAUACGGAGAAGAUUUGCGUGGCCCCUGUUCAAGGAUGACACACAAAUUCGUGACGCGUUCCGAACUUUG